UACGGAGGGGACUAGCGUUGUUCGGAAUUACUGGGCGUAAAGCGCACGUAGGCGGAUUUGUAAGUCAGGGGUGAAAUCCCGGGGCUCAACCUCGGAACUGCCUUUGAUACUGCAAAUCUCGAGUCCGGAAGAGGUGAGUGGAACUGCGAGUGUAGAGGUGAAAUUCGUAGAUAUUCGCAAGAACACCAGUGGCGAAGGCGGCUCACUGGCCCGAUACUGACGCUGAGGCACGAAAGCGUGGGGAGCAAACAGG
rnacentral:rRNA from 1 species